rnacentral:rRNA from 1 species
UACGGAGGGGGCAAGCGUUAUUCGGAAUUAUUGGGCGUAAAGGGCGCGUAGGCGGCCAGAUGUGUCAAAGGUGAAAUCCCUCGGCUCAACUGAGGAACUGCCUUUGAAACUGUCUGGCUUGAGGCCGGGAGAGGGUAGCGGAAUUCCCAGUGUAGCGGUGAAAUGCGUAGAUAUUGGGAGGAACACCAGUGGCGAAGGCGGCUACCUGGACCGGUUCUGACGCUGAGGCGCGAAAGCGUGGGUAGCAAACAGG